AAGCUACUGGGGGAGCCGAAGCUCCCCCCCAAGUAGGUGCGUGCUUUAUUUUUAUUAUUAUGUCGGGCUUGUUGUUUUUGUUUGUUGACCCGUUCCGUCGGCCUAGUGGCUUCAGGAAAAACCUCCAAUUCGGAGGUUAAUAGACAACGGAUUGCUUUGGAUGCUGAUGUAGCCAUGAUCUUGCGAUCCAACCAGUUCGGGCUCUGCCUAGUAGCAGUU
rnacentral:sRNA from 3 species